rnacentral:rRNA from 1 species
UGGGGAAUAUUGCACAAUGGGCGCAAGCCUGAUGCAGCCAUGCCGCGUGUGUGAAGAAGGCCUUCGGGUUGUAAAGCACUUUCAGCGGGGAGGAAGGCGGUGAGGUUAAUAACCCAAUCGAUUGACGUUACCCGCAGAAGAAGCACCGGCUAACUCCGUGCCAGCAGCCGCGGUAAUACGGAGGGUGCAAGCGUUAAUCGGAAUUACUGGGCGUAAAGCGCACGCAGGCGGUCUGUCAAGUCGGAUGUGAAAUCCCCGGGCUCAACCUGGGAACUGCAUUCGAAACUGGCAGGCUAGAGUCUUGUAGAGGGGGGUAGAAUUCCAGGUGUAUCGGUGAAAUGCGUAGAGAUCUGGAGGAAUACCGGUGGCGAAGGCGGCCCCCUGGACAAAGACUGACGCUCAGGUGCGAAAGCGUGGGGAGCAAACAGG